AAGUCGAGCGGACAGAUGGGAGCUUGCUCCCUGAUGUUAGCGGCGGACGGGUGAGUAACACGUGGGUAACCUGCCUGUAAGACUGGGAUAACUCCGGGAAACCGGGGCUAAUACCGGAUGCUUGUUUGAACCGCAUGGUUCAAACAUAAAAGGUGGCUUCGGCUACCACUUACAGAUGGACCCGCGGCGCAUUAACUAGUUGGUGAGGUAACGGCUCACCAAGGCAACGAUGCGUAACCGACCUGAGAGGGUGAUCGGCCACACUGGGACUGAGACACGGCCCAGACUCCUACGGGAGGCAGCAGUAGGGAAUCUUCCGCAAUGGACGAAAGUCUGACGGAGCAACGCCGCGUGAGUGAUGAAGGUUUUCGGAUCGCAGAGCUCUGUUGUUAGGGAAGAACAAGUACCGUUCGAAUAGGGCGGUACCUUGACGGUACCUAACCAGAAAGCCACGGCUAACUACAUGCCAUCAGCCGCGGUAAUACGUAGGUGGCAAGCGUUGUCCGGAAUUAUUGGGCGUAAAGGGCUCGCAGGCGGUUUCUUAAGUCUGAUGUGAAAGCCCACGGCUAACCCGGGCGAAGGUCAUUGGAAACUGGGGAACUUGAGUGCAGAAGAGGAGAGU
rnacentral:rRNA from 1 species